AGAUUUGUGCAUCUGAUUCAUCGUAUUGCUCCAAUCUGAGUGAGUCAUACACUCGGUCAGCUCUGUCAAGGAACAGAAGGUUUCAUCCACAUUCAGAUUCUGGAAUAUCAUCCCUGGUAAAUACUUUUCAUUUGCUCUUUACCUAAUGCGAAGUUCAUAAAAUGUACUUUAUCUUGCAUUGAACUUUUAAAAUUUAAACCCAAGUUAGUUAACAUAUAGUGUAAUAAUGGUUUCAGGAGUAGAAUUUAGUGAUUCAUCACUUACAUAUAAUACCCAGUGCUCAUUCAACAAGUGCCCUCCUUAAUGUCCAUCACCCAUUUAGCCCAUCCCCCCCACCCCACACCGCUCCAGCAACCCUCAGUUUGUUCUCUGUAUUCAAGAGUCUCUUAUGGUUUGUCUCCCUGUUCUUAUUUUUACUUCCCUUCCCUUAUGUUCAUCUGUUUGUAUCUUAAAUUCACAUAUGUGUGAAGUCACGUGAUACUUGUCUUUCUCUGACUGACUUAUUUCACUUAGCAUAAUACACCCAAGUUCUAUCCACGUUGUUGCAAAUGGCAAGAUUUCAUUCUUUUUGCUUGCCAAAUAAUAUUCCACUGUGUGUGUGUGUGUGUGUGUGUGUGUGUGUGUGUAUUUAUAUAUACCACUUCUUUAUCCAUUCAUCAGUUGAUGAACAUGUGGUCUCUUUCCAUAUUUUGGCUAUUAUCAAUAGUGCUGCUAUAAACAUCAGAGUGCAUGUGCCCCUUUGAAUCAGCACUCCUAUAUCCUUUGGAUAAAUACCUAGUAGUGUAAUUUCUGGGUCAUAGGGUAGUUAUACUUUUUAAUUUUUUGAGGAACCUCCAUACUGUUUUCCAAAGUGGCUGCACAAGUUUGCAUUCCCACCAGCAGUUCAAAAGUAUUCCUCUUUCUCCGCAUCCUCACCAGCAUGUCAUUGCCUGAGUUGUUAAUUUUAGCCAUUCUGACAGAUGUGAGGUGGUAUCUCAUCGUGGUUUUGAUUUGCAUUUCCUUGAUGAGUGAUGUUAAGCAUCUUUUCACAGGUCCAUUAAUUAGCCUUCUGGAUGUCUUCUUUGGAAAAGUAUUCAUGUCUUCUGCCCAUUUCUUCACUGGAUUAUUUGUUUUUGGGGUGUUGAGUUUGAUAAAUUCCUUAUAGAUUUUGAAUACUAAUCCUUUAUCUGAUAUGUCAUUUGCAAAUAUCUUCUCCCAUUCUGUACAUUGCCUUUUAGUUUUGCUGAUUGUUUUCCUCACCGUGCAGAAACUUUUUAUCUUGAUGAGGUCCUAAUAGUUCAUUUUUGCUUUUGUUUCCCUUUCCUCUGGAGAUGUGUCUAGUAAGAAGUUGCUGUAGCUGAGGUUAGAGGUUGCUGCCUAUGUUCUCCUUUAGGAUUUUGAGGGCUUCCCGUCUUGCAUUUAUGGCUUUUAUCCACUUUGAGUUUAUUUUUGUGUCUGGUGUAAGAAAGUGGUCCAAGUUCACGCUUCUGCAUGUUGCUCUCCAGUUUUCCCAACACCAUAUGCUGAGGAGACUGUCUUUUUUCCAUUGGAUAUUCUUUCCUGUUUUGUCAAAGAUUAGUUGGCCUCUUACAUUGAACAUUUUUAAAUAAGUGUACAAAGUUCUUAAAUCUACCCUUGUAAUUGGGAAGGAAUGAAAUGUUGGCACCCCCAGUCCCAACUCAGAGGGGAAAUGGAAAGAAGCUGGAGUGGGAAGGAAGGCAAACCGGAGAUGAAUAGAAAAGGCAGUGACCACCAAAACAGAAAUGGCAUCCCUUCCUUUCCCCUGCUGAGUUCAAAUUCUGUCUCUGGCCUAAGAUGUAUCUCCUUUCUUUCUGGAAUGUCCUUUGUCCUCAAGAUGAAAUGGUUUCCUGCCAAACUCACCACUUCCAAGACUUUCCCCUCUGCCAUCUCAGUGGAACCGUAUGGGCUUUUCCCUCCUUUCCUUCAUUUAUAAUUGUUUCAUCUAGCCCCUGGAUAAAGAUGGGUUACUCAAAUAUCUGCCUCUCCAAUUAUAGGAAACGAGUUUUUCAAGCACAAAUGCCAUAUUUUAUUUAACUUUAUAUCCCCAGUGCCUGACACACAGCAGGGUACAGUAUAUAUUUUUGAAUAAAUGAGUGAAAUGAAAUGAAGCAAACCAACUUUGGAAAUAUUUAUUGAACCAAUGGAUUAAUCACUUCUUCCAUCAGAAUUAAGAAAGGAACAACAAAAAGGUAAGACACAAGUAUUCACUAUUCCUUUAGGAAGAAGCAAUGGUCACACAACUGCAGCAUAUUGACAACCUCACAUAAACAUAAACAGAGAAAUGUAAUAGCUCAUUUUCCUAUAAUAUCAGAAAUCCCCAAAUCAACCACAGAACUCCUUUAAAAAGGCAAACAGUAUUUUGUACAAAAUUAGAUGUUGGUUGAAAAAUGGAAACUUUCUUCUCAAAUACAGCUUUAACUUAGAUUCUUCUUUUUCCAGUAAGAUCAUCAGGAAAUAGCACAAAAAGGCAAUGGGGUAUGGCAACUCCAGGGAAUUUAACUUCUAAUAUAUUUUUAUUCUGUGAUAGAAGCAAGAAAAAACAAUCCAAAAGCACAUUGGAAAUUGGGAACGAAGCUUCCAUAAACAUGUGAACUCAACAGCCAAGAAUAGUCCAGGGAUCACAUUCCUCAAUAAUCUAAAAUGUUUCUUGGUCUUUUAAAUAAUAUUUCCAAAGAAUGAGUGAAUUCCUUAAAAUCAUAUUAGCAAAUCCUCAGAUUAUCUCAAAGAAUUGCUCAAGCGUUCAUUAGCUUUUUAGCUUUUUGCUAUCAAUAAGGUAGAGAGAUUUUGUUACUCUAUUUUUAAAUGAAGAUAUGGAGGUAUUUACUAGAACAGCCAUGGUCAGUAGUGAGUAAGCAAUGAAGAUAAAAAAAAAAUCAAAGCUAAAUGAUUAUUAAAAAGCCACCUCUUAUCAAUUUCUUCUGAGUCGGCAUGUUCCAAAUUCUGCUUCACAAGAUGCACGAGACCCCCGUGCUGCUUCAAAAAUAAAAGUUUUUAUGGUUUAAAAAGUCCAGGGGAACACUUUGUGAGUAGAGACUCACAGUGUAUAUUAGCAAAUAAUGGCUCUGCAGAGUCCUGUAGCAAAGGGAAAUGCUUCACUUAGUUCAGUCCAGAGCCUCAGAAGCUUAUUCAGUGGUGGAAAUUUUUUUUUUUAUGUUAGUAUUAGUCACACAAAUUUACAGCUCAAGCAAAACAUAAGCUAUGUGCAAUGCUUCUCUGUGAGAUGAAAGUGGUUGUUCCAAAUACUCUAAUGACAUUUCUUUGUAUCAAAUAUUCUGGGUUUGUUUACGUGUACAACACUGGCUAACAGAAGAAUGAAUGUAUGGUGUCUGUAUUUAACAGAACACUCUUUUCCGUGUAAUAUGCCUUUUCAUUUGUGUUAACUUUGAGACUAUCAUAUACCAUAUAAGAUACAGGGAAUUUUGAUUGACUACAACCUCCAUAAUGGUAAACAAUAAAAAAUUGCCCCAAAUAUGAUGUUGGCACAAAGUCUGGUUGGUAAUACACUGUCCAGAACAAGGAAGAUGACCAGACCUACAAUAUUUCUUUCAAUACUGGCUACACAUUUUAAGAACAAUGUCAAUAAAUUAGAACUCUUUCCAAGGAGAAUCAUAUAAUGAUGUGUCAGCUAUGAUCUGUGAGUAAUAACGGUACGACUUAGGAAGAAGAUGACAAUCGUUACGAAACACUUAAAAUAGUAGCCACGUGUGACGUCUAUGGAGCCUCAAAAGGCAGAACUUUGACAAUUGAAGCAAGUUAGAGAGGCUUGGGGUCCCGUAUAAUAACGAGCCGCCAACAAUUAGAACUGUUAUAAAACGGAAAAGGGAAUGAGAUCUCUCAAUCUAAAUAAAUCAGGUAGUUUCAUUUUAUAUUUUUACCAAGCAUUUUAAAUUUGGUACAAUAAACCAAUAUUUGACUAUUCCUUUAUAUCCUAUCAAAUUUUAUAAGUGUACUAGUGUGACUGCAAAGAAUUGUUAUCUGUAGCCCCUAAUAUACAUUCAAUAAAUAUUAAAGAAUGAUUUAUCAGAGGUGCUGUAAAGCGGAUUCAUGAAUGGGUAUACGUAUGUAUCACUAUUGUCAUUUAUCACCAGAUGUAAAUCAGUUGCAGGUGUUGGAGAUGCUAAUCUGUAUAAGAAGACAUAAUUUAAAAUGAACUAAAAUGACUUCUAUAAGGACACCGUCAGGUAUUUGCAGUUCAAUGUGGCUGAAUGUUUGGCGAUGAUCUGUAUUACUUUUACACAUAAAAGUACAUGAAUCGCAUAUGACCAGAUGCUAUUUCUCUUCUUGUUUUAAAGCUUCCAUCAGACUCCUUUAAGUUCCUCACUUGGCACAAGGUAGAACAACAUGACAUUCAAGGAAGUCAGCUGCGUUGCCCAAGAAUAAGAGAAGGUAAAGAACAAAUGUAUUUGUUCUUUGUGUACAUGCUCUGAGUUGAUUGUAUCUGUGGAUUAGAAACAUUACUUGGGGAAACAAAUAUAUUACUUGGAGGUAGACAAAUUUUCUUUAUCAAGACCAAAGAAUUAUUAAUAUAGUUAGUGAAGCCACUUUAAAGCACGGUCACAUAUCUGGUUAUAUAAAUAAUGAAUGUUCAGUGUUAAAUACUAGAAAAAUAGAAAGAUGAAAAUGAGCUUGUAAUUCAAUGAUACACAAAUAACCACUGUGAUUUAUUUUGUUUCUGUUUUGCCUUUUUUUGAAAAAUAUAUUCACAUACUUCUUCACGGAAUUGUACAAAAAAAUUGUAUCUUGAGUUUUUUUGCUUAUCUCGUUAUUGGGAGCAUUUCUUCCAUGUUGUUAAAUAUUACCCAAAACAUGUUUUUUUUUUUUUUUAAUUUUUUUUUUCAACAUUUAUUUAUUUUUGGGACAGAGAGAGAGAGAGCAUGAACGGGGGAGGGGCAGAGAGAGAGGGAGACACAGAAUCGGAAACAGGCUCCAGGCUCUGAGCCAUCAGCCCAGAGCCUGACGCGGGGCUCGAACUCACGGACCGCGAGAUCGUGACCUGGCUGAAGUCGGUCGCUUAGCCGACUGCGCCACCCAGGCGCCCCCCAAAACAUGUUUUUUAAUGGUCAUUUAUCUUUCCAUCACAUGGAUAUUACUAAAUAUAUUUAACCAGUGAUCUUUGUUGGAAUUUUAUUAUUUACAAUAUUUAAUGAUCAUGAAUGACAUUGUCACUUUGAUGAAUCACUUUAACCUGAUUUACUUCUAUCAUUGGUUUUUAAAACAUCAAUUGGGAAUCUAAAUAAACCAGGGAGUUUCAUUUUAUAUUUUCACUAAGCAUGUUAAAUUUGGUAGAAUAAACUAAUGUUAUUCUAUUCCUUCUCAUUCUGUCAGACUUUACAAGUGCACUACUGUGACAGUAUGAAGAAUUGUUAUCUGUAGCCCCUAAUAUACACAAUGUUUAAUUUUUAUAACUUUUUUUUUUAAUUUUUUUAAUGUUUAUUUACUUCUGAGAGAGAGAGACAGACAGACAGAGUGCAAGUGGGGGAAGGGGCAGAGAUAGAGGGAGACACAGAAUCCAAAGCAGGCUCCAGGCUCCGAGCUGUCAGCACAGAGCCCGAAGCCGGGCUCGAACUCACGAAUAGUGAGAUCAUGACCUGAGCUGAAGUCUGACGCUUAACCGACUGCACCACCCAGGAGCCCCAAAUUGUUAUAGCUUUCAAUGGAUUCUAUAUUAUGUAAGAAUAAGCACCAUGCAUUUCUCAUGUCUCUUUUGCAUAUCCCAUAAGCUGAUGAAAUAAUAUUAGACAUAAUUUCGGCUGCAGUGAAUAUUUAGUCAUUACAAAACAUCAAAUAUCUUGGCUAUCUUCCAUCUGUAUUUACAGAUUUGCAGUUAUAUUGUGUACUGUACCAUUGUAAUACUGAUUUAGAAGAAGUUGCUUUAAAUAUAUUCGCCUGCUCGCUUCCCUCUCCCAGUAGCAUCACUUUACCACACAAUGCCUUUCUUCUUUCACUCAAAUUCAGUUGACAAAGACAGACUAAAAUAGCAUCAUUUUCUGAAACUUUGGGUAAAAUAUGUUCUUAUGUUUUAACUCUGUCAGCUUUGUUUGCCGCUAAGCACUGACUCCUAGUUUUAAAAUAUUAGUAGAUAGUACUACUAGAGGUAAACUCAAGCUGCUCUAUGGGGACUGAGAGAGAAUACUUUUCAAAGAGCAAGAAAUUAUGGGGAUUUAGGAAAGUGGGAGGCCAAAGGAAGUAGAGACCGUAUGUGUCACAUGAAUAAGGAGUCCAUCAGUAAAAGGAAGAGAGGUCUUACCAGGGUUCAAAAUGGGCAGCUUCAGCUGGUUCUUAGACUUCAGUGUGUGGACAGUUUACCUGGAGGCCUGUGGAAAAAGCACUUUUCCAGGCCCAACUCUCAACGAAUCUGAUGUGGUUAGCGGGAAGUGGGGCCCAGGAAUCUGCAUUUGUAAACUUAUCAGGAAAUUCUGUUGCAGAUGAUCGGAGGGCCAUACUGUAAAAAUACUAGUUUCGGAAGUCUGGAGGGAAGAAAUUUGAAUAGACAGUGGAAAGACUGAUACAGUAAGGGUGCUGGCAUGUGUGUGUAUAUGUGUGUGUGUGUGUGUGUGUGUGUGUGUGUGUGUGUGUGCUUGUGCUGGUAGUGGUGGUGGUUGAUGAUUGUGCCACAGUGAGGCAAAAAUAAAUUGUACUCUGAGCAUGGAUAGAGAGUUGAGGUUUAGAGAGAACUGAACUGAAGACACUGAGGGAUGACAGGGGAAUCAGAUGUAGGAGUAAACUGACAAUGAGUAUGUGUAAAGAGAGCACGGUGGCCUCUCUCCUUCCCCGGUUUAAGCGCCAGGUCAUGUGCUAAGGUCAUCAGUCAACAAAACUAAUCCCGCAAAGGGACCACAGUGGCCAUUCAUGCAGAGGAAUCAUCGCUCUGCAGAGAUAAGGCACAUUUUCCUUCCAUAGACCAUUAACAACACCCAAUCUCUUGCAAGUGCCUAGUUGUAAAAGGAAUGGAGCAUUAUCUAGGGGAUUGAAAACAUGGGAAAAUCUCAUCACCUCAAACCGUGAAGGAAAUAGAUGUCCCUUGUUCACUGUCCUUAAUUUAGUUCAAGUUUUGUGUGUGCAUAUGUGAGAUAGACAAGUGCUUUUCAAAAGCAUUCUAGUAACAAUUACCCUUCUUCUAGAUUAGAUCCUGAAACACCCAUCCAAACUACUUCAGUUCAUCUCAGUUGCCCCAAUUGUACAUCCGGAAAGAGUUCUUAAGAAAAGAAAGGUUAUCUUGCGUGUGAUAAACAGCAAUUUCCCAAAGCUUUGAUGGCCAGAUCAAGACUGACUUGACUCCUCCCAAUUAAAUGAAGCAAAAGAGCCAACUGUUAGCAGAAUUCUUUCAGAUGUGGAUGCCUUCUAUUUGAAAAUCCCUCAGCAAGUCAAUUCAGUCACUGCUGCUAAGUUACAAAUCCAGUGAGGGGACAAAGUACCAGCUCAGAGAUGGCAGGUAAAAGUCGACAUUCCAACGAUGUCAGAUAUUCCAGACUGUAGUUCUCAACUGCUAAGAUAUAUCUUCAAUUACCAACCAAGUCCGAGUUUAAAAAAGAAAGAAUCCAAUUUAAUAUAAUUCCUCACAGUGGAAGUGACCUUUGGCUUCCAACUUCAAAGAGAUCUUUGAAAGCUGUUUUAAAAAAAAUAAUAAUUGAAAGAACAGAAGAUCAAUAGAACUCAAACAAACAAUAUAGGGCAGAGUUUAAUAAGUCUGGGGAUAUCUCUUGCACAAAGCAAGCUACCAAAUUUCGGGUGGGUGUAUUAAAGAUAAUAGAGCCCAAGUUCUGCCCAAUUAGGUGAUUAUCCAGUUUUUUCCAGUUCUGUGACUUUUAAUUCCAAUCAGCUUAAUCAAUGAGGAAGAAAAUUUAACACAAGGAUAUUUUAUGUGUAAAUUGGUUGGGAUACUUCAGGGUUAUGUGAUUUCCUGGGUGGAAACUGUACAGUUCAUUAUAAGAGAAAUACCAGAAAGGUCAGGUUGCACCUAAUCUUCCACCUGCACCUGAUGAAAGAAGAGAUGUUUGUGUCAAAAUAAUGAAAUAUUGGACUCUUUUAUUGCCUUCAUAAAUCCUUCACAAAUGGACUCAUUAUCUCCCAGCAAAGCCUGGACAAAACUGCCACAAAAGCAAAGUUUGUUCCUGAUGCCUUUAGUCACCUUUUCUUUAGUAUAUCUCUUUCUUUUCACCUGUGAAAUAAGAAUCAUGCAUUCCAGAAAAAUGGCAUGGGGGAAAUGUACACAAAUGAUUCCAGGUAGGAUUCAUAGAAACGUAUUGUGGAGUGGGAGGGAUUUGAAAUCACUGAGCUUAGGAUUGCUGUCAGGGGCCCAGUUAGCAUCAUAAUAGACUGUAGUUUUCCUGGGCAACACGAUAGAGUUAUACUUGCUAAUAAAGAAAUACAUUCUAAUGGAAUUGGAAAUCGGUAUUUUUAUAAAGCAGUAUGAACUUCAAACAAACAUAACUUCUCAUCAUAUUCAUCUCACGUUGGGCCCUUGAUUCUAGUCUUUCCUGUAUUUUUGCUGACAUGGAAAACUGAAGCUCAGAAAAUUAAAAUUAGUCAUCUGGAGAUACACAAUCACCUAGCACCCAACCUCAGACUGGAAACAGGAUAUCCUUUCAUUAACCAUGGAAAUUUUGUGCAAACCUGAUUUGGAGGACAACAGGGUUGGGAAAUAGUGGGAAUGAGUGUGGAAAUGGAGAUUGAGAUAAGAUUGUCAAAAACUUUGGGGCACUUGAGUGACUCAGUCGGUUGUCUGAUUUUGGCUCAGGUCAUGAUCUCCCAGUUUGUGGGUUUGAGCCCUGCAUUGAGCUUUGUGCUGACAGCUCAGAAUCUAGAGCCUGCUUCAGAUUCUGUGUCUCCCUCUCUCUCUGCCCCUCCCCCACUCAUGCUUUGUCUCUCUCUGUCUCUCAAAAAUGAAUAAACAUUAAAAAUUUUUAACUAAAAAAAAAAGAUUGUGGAAAACCUUGCUUGACAAGCCAGGAUUUUCCAUCUCUAAUUGGUAGGCAGUAAGAAAAUUCUGAAAUGUUUUCAACAUGGAAGUGUGGCAAAAAGCUGUGUUUCUAGAAGGCUAGAAAGGUCUAUCAUUUAUAUUGAAGGAGUGAAGAUUUCAAACAAGGAGAUCCACAAGAAAGUAGUUAUUGUUCAGGGAGGAGAUAUGAGGAUCUAGACAUUGAAAAGGAAGGGGACAGAUUCUCCAGCAGAAAGGUUAUAGAACCAAGUGGCUAACUGAGUUGAGAAACAAAAGAGAGGGAAAGUCACGAGUGACUUCAUAUCCCCAAAGAGAAAAUUAUGUGAGACUAAAGUUACUCUACUGGUGAUUUUCUUAUGUGAACAAGAAAUAAUUUAUGUAAGGUUAAAAGUUAGCUCAUUUUUUUUACUGCUCACACUAUUUGGGCAUAUUACAGACGAACUCAUGUUUUCCUCAAUUUUGAUAUCUCGUGAGAGUUUAAAAAAACUGGCCAAAUGUCAAGAGAAGGGUGCCUGGAUGGCUCAGUGGGUUAAGCAUCCGACUCUUGGUUUCAGCUCAGGCUAUGAACUUACAGUUCAUGAGUUUGAGCCCUGCAUCAGGCUCUGCACUAACAGUGAGGAGCCUGCUUGGGAUUCUCUCUCUCUCUCUCUCUCUCUCUCUCUCUCUCUGCCCCUCUCUCUUGCUCUCUCUCUCAAAAAAAAAAAAAACCACAAAAAACAAAAACAAAAAAAUCUCACAAAUAUCAAGUGAAGAUGUCAGUCCUGCUGCCCUAAACCUAUUUCCAAGAUCUCACCUUGUGAUUUUUGCCCAGGACCCUCCACAGAAGAGUUGCUCUUCAGACAGGAGGAGUGUGUCUUACCCGCUCGGAAAAGAGUCCUUGAAAAAAACAAAUGGGAAACAUGGCUACAAGAAAACUGGGAGGACUGCACGGUGAGAGCUUAAAAGACAGAAAAGGGUCUCUUCUCCACAUUGAUUCUGUUAUGACUGCCCCCCCCCAUUUUAAGGGCAAUUGCUAGCAUAAAUAUCAAAACUUUCAGCAUUUCCUCGGAGUUUUCUCUAAAACUAGUGGCGUAUG
rnacentral:lncRNA from 1 species